UUGUGUUGUGCCGGAUUAAACGGAUUACAUUGAUGUUGUAAAAUAUGAGCGUUGCUCCAACAUU
rnacentral:tRNA from 1 species